AGAUAAGCAUACAAACUAAAAUAAACAAAAAUAUAUAUAUAUUUAUUUUACAAUAAAUAUUGACAUUAAUUAAAAAAUAUUUUCAUUGUCAAAAAAAAAAAAACACUUCACAAUAAACAUUUAUAGCAGUAGUGGAAGGGGUAUCGAUAGACCCAAUGUAUGUUGGUAGCAAAACAAUGAAAACCCAAAUCAAAAUGUUUUAGAUAAAGCUCUCUUUCUCUCUCUAAUUUCUUGUCUUGGGUUUCUCAGACCAAUUUGGUUUUUAAUUUGGUAAAUCACAGUGUUUUUCUUACAGUUUUCACAUUGCCUUUGACACGUUGAAGCCUAAUUCUGAUCAUAUUUUUCAUCACUACACCUUCUCUAUUAUUACAGCAAACUACUAUAAGUCUAUAACCUCUUCACCAAUUAAUAUAUCUUUCUUAUUUUUCUUCUUCUUCUUCUCAAUGCCAAGAUUCACUCAUUUUCACAAUUAUCACACCUCUUCAACUACAAUUACCAUGAGUGGUGUAAUGCCGUUUAUGGUAGAAUCAAUGGUUAGACUUGUGAUGGGGUUGUUGACUCGACCAACAUCGACGAUCACAACGUUGUUAUAUUACAGUAAUUUGCUACCACGAAAUCUCAACUUAGAGCGGUUGGUCCAACAUGAAUUUAUCGACCCACCAAAUUAUUUGUUCCAUUUUAUCAUCAACGUCCUCAGAUGUUUUUAGUUAUUGGUACCUAUAUAUACAUUUAAUUUAAUUGUUUGUUAAAUCUGUGUUUGUGUAUUUCAUAAUUAAUAAUUUUGGUUAUGUUUGUUUAUUUAAUCUGGUUUUAAUUUAACUAAUAAUAUUUUCUCUUGUCUAUUUCUGCC